rnacentral:lncRNA from 1 species
GACUGAUCUAGACGUGGUGUGGUGGAGGAGGUGAAGCAUAGAUGUAAUGCGGAGGUGGCUUGUGCACCGGCGGCGGCGGUGACUUGUACUUGUAAACCGGUGGCGGUGGUGACUUAUAGACCGGUGGUGGUGGUGGAGACUUGUACUUGUAUGGCUUUGUUGGUGGAGGAGGCGACUUGUACACCGGUGGCGGUGGUGACUUGUACUUGUAAACCGGAGUUGGUGGUGGUGGUGACUUGUACACUGGUGGAGGCGGUGAUUUGUAUUUGUACAUCGGCGUGGGUGGUGGUGGUGACUUGUACACCGGUGGCGGUGGCGACUUGUACUUGUACACCGGAGUCGGAGGUGGGGGUGGAGAUUUAUAAUUGUAUGGUUU